AAAUUAUCUUCUUGUUCUUGAUAGUUUGGCUUGUACAACGUUGCAGGAUGACAAAUUCAACCUUUUCUGUGCAUUAUUACUUUCAUAACAUGAUAAUAACUCAAAUGCAUCAAGAAAGAGAAGGUAAAUGGGGACAAUUCGUGAAAAGGACUAGGAGAACAUAUUUAGAAGUAAUGGUCUGACAAAUAUGCAUACUGAAUAAUAUAAAUGAACUGAACAAGUUUCCUCCCCACCAACUGGAUAAUACAGUGUGAAGGAAAGUGGAAGAAAUGCAAAAUGCCAAGUUAGGCAUGUGAGGACUGACCAAAAAUGAGUCACACUCCCACGCUUUUGGCUCACAAUUCGAAAUAUUUGUUUUUAGUUGAUUGGGUAGCCACUAAAAGUAUAUGGUGAGCUUUGUUUGAAUUUGAUCUGUCACUUUUUUUUUGAUGGGUGACAAUGAUUUUAUGACAUAUGUCACAUUGUGUCACAUCACUCACAACACAUCAAGUCACACUCUAUCCCAUCAUUUCUGAAGGCAAUAAUGCCACUCAACACGACGUGACGUGACGAGAUGUAACGCAACUCAGAGGCUGAAAAAACAACGGGAAACUUUGGUGGGUGUGACAUGGGUCCCUGAAAUUACCUUGGAAUGAGCCUUGGGAAGAUCCCAGGAGUUAAGUUUGCAAAGUGGGGCAGCUGGGUGACUUCUGCCUUCGUGAAGGUGGGCUCUGAGUUACUCGGUGUAGAGAGGCAGUGAGUAGUUACUCUGUUCAUGGUGGGAGUCUGUUGCUGGGCUUGGUGAUAAAAGUGAGUUCUUCAAGGGAAAAAACUUGCUGGAAAGAUGAGCCUUAUGCCUGAAAUGUGACAAGACUGGAACUGUCUCUGACCUGAAAGCCUGCAUGUCUUUAAGUGUUUUAGAGCUUUUAAAAUAUCUGAAACCUCAGGGGAUGUCCUAAGCAUAAACAUUACUUUAAGCCAGGAUUUAGCUGGAUGUGGUCUUCUAACAUAUUUCAAACAAAGAUGGCUGCAAUCUUUAUGAGUUCUGCCCUGUUUUUCCAACAAUUAUCUCCUUUCCCGUGUUAUCUCCUUUCCAGUGUUUGUGUUGUAUAUGGUGUCUUAUCUGUUCUUAUUGGCUUCAGCAAACUAUAUCCAUGUGCACACAAAAAGGACCUUCAUCUACAUCAACAGCAGGAUAUUUCCAUUUAAACACACCACUUAAGCACAAAUUGUGAAAUUCCCUCAAUUUUUGAACACUUCACUGGAAGAGCCUGAAUUCCUUAGCUGACAGGAUUGCACCAGAGAGGUUUUUCAGUGAUGUUCAGCAAGUCAAUAGCUGGAGUGAAUAAAGGUUGGAAAGGUCUCUGUGGUUCAUCCAGCCCUGUACUCCCUGCUCCAUGGAUCCAACCCUCCUGCUAAGCUAAGCUUUGUGGGAGAAAGGAAGGCAGAAUCUCAUCCCUACAGAACAGCACAACAGUUUCCAGGCUGAACUCUCUAACAUACACAAUCUCCUCUGUGCUUCUGAACACACAGACCCACCAGCCCUGUGAGAAGAUGAGUGUGUUUACCACGUUGAAGAAAUCAGCAGUAGAUUUAGUGGAGUGCCUUUGGGCAGGUGAGAAAAAUUCUGAGAAAUCCAGUUUCCAAGCAGGAAAUUCGACGAGUGAUGCAGAGAUCGUGGCAGAAGCUGAAAACGGUGUGCAUGCAAGGACAAUGCCUCAGCAUCACACUUAACACAAGAAAACGGGAACAAUACAUAUUUUUAAGAGAUGCUUUAUAUAUUUGACCUCGUUUUGGUGGUUGUUUGGUUUUUUUCCCUGUAGAGGAAAAAUGAAUCAAUCUGUUCACCACCCUGAGAGUGAGCACUGACUCCCACUCCUUGCCUGGUGCACAGCCCUCAGGUCAGUGUGUGGGUGAGGGAGGUGAGCCCCGAGCACUCUCCAUGCUGGGCAGAAUGAUGAGAGGUUUCUUCUCCUCUCCUGUUCACCUCUGUCAUCCUUGUUCUCACUUUGGGAUCACCUCCUCAAAAUUUGUUUGAAAGUCCUUCACCACAGUGCUCCAGGUGGUCAGCAACUCCAAAUCCCUUUACAGACCCUGCAGCUCUGUCUGUCCUUACAUCUCGUGUGAAACAUGCAGCCAGAAGUCCCCACCCUGCACCACCUGAAGCCCCAAAGGAAUUGUUUUCUUCUUUAAGCAGUUCUCUAGACUGAAAGGCGAGGGCUCACUGUGAAAAUAGGUAUGAUUUUAAACAGCCUUUCACAUUUCACACGUGUGGUGAGGAUGGCUUACCAGCCUCACCAGGCUACCUUGCAGCUUCUCUUUUAUGGUCUGAAGCUGGAGGUGCUGAUGCAUCCUCAGAAAGCCACAGGCAGAAACCUCACAAAGAGAUUAAAGAUGUGACAGGGAGAGGCAGGAGGAAAUGCUCCUGCUCGUUUUCUUGUGUGUGUUCUUCUGAAGGUAAAGCCAGCAGGAACUCCAGCACAGGUCCAUGAGUUUCCAGAACAACCUUUGGAAGUUUCUGUCUGUUUUCCAAAGGAAAAAAGCACCAGCAGACCCAAAGCAUGGAAAAAUACUCAGCAGAAUCAAGCAUGACAGGAAAACUUCACAAAGACAUUGCUGUUGCUUUACUCAACCAUUUUCUCCUCCUCUCCAUCUACAAGGGAGAGGUACAAGAGACCCAACACCUCUGUGCACAUUGGUGGAAGGCUGUAAUAUUUUUCUCAAUUAAAAUCCCUGGAAAAUGUGGUAACAUUUAACUCCACAUGUUAAAGAAGGUUCUUUCUAGUUCAGUUCGCACUGGCUCCGUCUGCUUCCGUGCUGUGCAGCUCCUUGUGACUUUUUUCCAAGUUCAGCCAUUUAGAACAUUUAGAUAUUUCAGAGACAUUUAAAACACUGGGAUAUUUUAGAAGUCACAGUGAUUUCUGAGACAUCUUGGACCAUAGAUGGCAUUUGUUAGUUUGAGGGGAACUAUUUAUUUUAAUUUGCAAAGAAAUGUAGGACCAGUGAUCAAAAGUGAUCCAAAUCCAUUCGUGAUGUGACAAGUGGCAAACGAUUUUUGCUUUUGUAGCAUCUUUAAUGCAAAUGAGUGUAAAGUUCCUGAAUAUUUGACAUGAGGAUGUAUUUAUUAAAGUGUUAAUAGCACAAAAGAGCAUUGUUAUAUCAGGGAGACACAUUAUUAAAAAGUUUAUAGCAAACAAACAA